UACGGAGGGUGCAAGCGUUAUCCGGAUUCACUGGGUUUAAAGGGUGCGUAGGUGGGAAUGUAAGUCAGUGGUGAAAUCUCUGAGCUUAACUCAGAAACUGCCAUUGAUACUAUGUUUCUUGAAUUAUCUGGAGGUCAGCGGAAUAUGUCAUGUAGCGGUGAAAUGCUUAGAUAUGACAUAGAACACCGAUUGCGAAGGCAGCUGACUACGGGUUAAUUGACACUGAGGCACGAAAGCGUGGGGAUCAAACAGG
rnacentral:rRNA from 1 species